GGGGCUGACCGGUUUUGACAGCGUGUAGAGGUGGUAAGUAAGCAUGCAGAGCAAUGAUGGCUACGCUCUAUAAUAUGGGACAUCAAAAUUUUAAAUGGCGAAAACAACUACGCUCUCGCUGCUUAAUCGAAGUACAGUAAAUUAAGCCUAAUCCGCGUCCCAGGGACGCAGACGAGACAUCGCCCGAGGGUUUACCCGUUCCGAGACUCCUCGAUCAGGCGGUGCAGAUAGAUCGGAAAUAGGACACCAAGUGCCUCGCGAGGCGUCCGAAAUUUUUAGAGGCUAAGGCCAAGGUUGGUCGCUUCAUGCCUGCCGUGGCCCUACAACCAAGUUGAAGCUAAGCAUGUAGAAAGCUUAUUAGUUCCACGUUUGGACGAGGGUUCGAAUCCCUCCAGCUCCACAA
rnacentral:tmRNA from 2 species